rnacentral:rRNA from 1 species
AACGAACGCUGGCGGCAGGCUUAACACAUGCAAGUCGAACGCCCCGCAAGGGGAGUGGCAGACGGGUGAGUAACGCGUGGGAACAUACCCUUUUCUACGGAAUAGCUCUGGGAAACUGGAAUUAAUACCGUAUACGCCCUACGGGGGAAAGAUUUAUCGGGGAAGGAUUGGCCCGCGUUGGAUUUGCUAGUUGGUGGGGUAAAGGCCUACCAAGGCGACGAUCCAUAGCUGGUCUGAGAGGAUGAUCAGCCACAUUGGGACUGAGACACGGCCCAAACUCCUACGGGAGGCAGCAGUGGGGAAUAUUGGACAAUGGGCGCAAGCCUGAUCCAGCCAUGCCGCGUGAGUGAUGAAGGCCUUAGGGUUGUAAAGCUCUUUCACCGAUGAAGAUAAUGACGGUAGUCGGAGAAGAAGCCCCGGCUAACUUCGUG